rnacentral:rRNA from 1 species
GACGAACGCUGGCGGCGUGCUUAACACAUGCAAGUCGAACGGAAAGGCUCCAGAUUGCUGGAGUACUCGAGUGGCGAACGGGUGAGUAACACGUGGGUAAUCUGCCCUGCACUCUGGGAUAAGCCUGGGAAACUGGGUCUAAUACUGGAUAUGACCUUUCUCCUUAUGGGGUUUGGUGGAAAGUUUUUCGGUGUAGGAUGAGCCCGCGGCCUAUCAGCUUGUUGGUGGGGUGAUGGCUUACCAAGGCGACGACGGGUAGCCGGCCUGAGAGGGUGAUCGGCCACAUGGGGACUGAGAUACGGCCCAGACUCCUACGGGAGGCAGCAGUGGGGAAUAUUGCACAAUGGGCGGAAGCCUGAUGCAGCGACGCCGCGUGAGGGAUGACGGCCUUCGGGUUGUAAACCUCUUUCAGCAGGGACGAAGCGUAAGUGACGGUACCUGCAGAAGAAGCACCGGCUAACUAUGUG